UACGUAGGGUGCAAGCGUUGUCCGGAAUUAUUGGGCGUAAAGAGCUCGUAGGCGGUUUGUCGCGUCUGCUGUGAAAUCUGGGGGCUCAACCCCCAGCCUGCAGUGGGUACGGGCAGACUAGAGUGCGGUAGGGGAGAUUGGAAUUCCUGGUGUAGCGGUGGAAUGCGCAGAUAUCAGGAGGAACACCGAUGGCGAAGGCAGAUCUCUGGGCCGUAACUGACGCUGAGGAGCGAAAGUGUGGGGAGCGAACAGG
rnacentral:rRNA from 1 species